CAGGCUUAACACAUGCAAGUCGAGGGGCAGCAUGGUCUUAGCUUGCUAAGGCCGAUGGCGACCGGCGCACGGGUGAGUAACACGUAUCCAACCUGCCGUCUACUCUUGGACAGCCUUCUGAAAGGAAGAUUAAUACAAGAUGGCAUCAUGAGUCCGCAUGUUCACAUGAUUAAAGGUAUUCCGGUAGACGAUGGGGAUGCGUUCCAUUAGAUAGUAGGCGGGGUAACGGCCCACCUAGUCUUCGAUGGAUAGGGGUUCUGAGAGGAAGGUCCCCCACAUUGGAACUGAGACACGGUCCAAACUCCUACGGGAGGCAGCAGUGAGGAAUAUUGGUCAAUGGGCGAGAGCCUGAACCAGCCAAGUAGCGUGAAGGAUGGCUGCCCUAUGGGUUGUAAACUUCUUUUAUAAAGGAAUAAAGUCGGGUAUGGAUACCCGUUUGCAUGUACUUUAUGAAUAAGGAUCGGCUAACUCCGUGCCAGCAGCCGCGGUAAUACGGAGGAUCCGAGCGUUAUCCGGAUUUAUUGGGUUUAAAGGGAGCGUAGAUGGAUGUUUAAGUCAGUUGUGAAAGUUUGCGGCUCAACCGUAAAAUUGCAGUUGAUACUGGAUAUCUUGAGUGCAGUUGAGGCAGGCGGAAUUCGUGGUGUAGCGGUGAAAUGCUUAGAUAUCACGAAGAACUCCGAUUGCGAAGGCAGCCUGCUAAGCUGCAACUGACAUUGAGGCUCGAAAGUGUGGGUAUCAAACAGGAUUAGAUACCUUGGUAGUCCACACGGUAAACGAUGAAUACUCGCUGUUUGCGAUAUACGGCAAGCGGCCAAGCGAAAGCGUUAAGUAUUCCACCUGGGGAGUACGCCGGCAACGGUGAAACUCAAAGGAAUUGACGGGGGCCCGCACAAGCGGAGGAACAUGUGGUUUAAUUCGAUGAUACGCGAGGAACCUUACCCGGGCUUAAAUUGCAGAUGAAUUACGGUGAAAGCCGUAAGCCGCAAGGCAUCUGUGAAGGUGCUGCAUGGUUGUCGUCAGCUCGUGCCGUGAGGUGUCGGCUUAAGUGCCAUAACGAGCGCAACCCUUGUUGUCAGUUACUAACAGGUUCCGCUGAGGACUCUGACAAGACUGCCAUCGUAAGAUGUGAGGAAGGUGGGGAUGACGUCAAAUCAGCACGGCCCUUACGUCCGGGGCUACACACGUGUUACAAUGGGGGGUACAGAGGGCCGCUACCACGCGAGUGGAUGCCAAUCCCCAAAACCUCUCUCAGUUCGGACUGGAGUCUGCAACCCGACUCCACGAAGCUGGAUUCGCUAGUAAUCGCGCAUCAGCCACGGCGCGGUGAGUACGUUCCCGGGCCUUGUACACACCGCCCGUCAAGCCAUGGGAGCCGGGGGUACCUGAAGUGCGUAACCGCGAGGAGCGCCCUAGGGUAAAACUGGUGACUGGGGCUAAGUCAUAACA
rnacentral:rRNA from 1 species